rnacentral:lncRNA from 1 species
UAGUAACAGAGGUUUUGAAGUACAUGCUGAUGGAUUCCUGUCUAUGAAGAAAGAAAAUUUCUUCCAAAAGUGUCCUUCAUUCAACAGACGGAUACUGAUCACUUACGUUCCAGAUACUGUGCUUUGACCUUGCAGCUACCCUGAACCUGCCCAAAGUGUGAAAUGGCCACCACCAGUGCAGAGGCAUAAAGAACUCUGAGGCCUGAGAGCAUGAGAUCGUCAUCCUUCCCAGUGAGCUCUGGGAAGGUCUCCAAAUUAGCAAUGGUGCCUUCAAAAUCAUGGAACUGCCUCACCUACAGGAUAUUUAAGAAAUAAACUUCAAAGGUGAUGCUAACACUCAGAAGGUCUUCACAGCUAGAGCAAAUGAAAAUGCAAUCUGAAGGGAGUGAAAAACUUGGAAAAUCCCACACUGUUAGUAAAUUAGGUCUUUUAAAAAAGGAACAUCCUAGCAAGCUCCAAUAAAUCAAUGUGACUCUAAGAAACAACACUGAAAGUUACUGAGCCUGUCGGACUUAACUCACCAGAGUUUUAAUUACAAAGCAGUACAGUUGCCGCAGAGAAUGGUAACACAGUGUUGCUGAACCAACUGGGCCUGAGAUGUGUGGCUGGAAUCUUAUAUUUUCUUCACUUUCUAAAGAUGAGAGACUUCCCAGAUGCCCUAACAGCAGGGCUUCUUUUUGAUAAGAGGUAAUGAAACCUCACAGACAAAUGCAAUAAUCUGAGUUUUAAUAGACCCAAACCAGUCGACAGUAAAAAAAAAAAUCAGCACAAUAGACAAAAAACUGAGUCACUCUGAUGAGAUUUUCAAAUAUUUCUCUUCCUUCUCAUCAUCUCUUCAAAGAGAGUAACCGAUUGCCCUAUUCUUUUCUUUUUGUCCUAAUGAAAAAAAUAGCUUAAAAUUAGAAAUAAUGUACUUACUAAGCCAUGUGAAGAUAAUAGGCCACAGAAAUUAAAAAUGCUCAUACCUAUUUAGAGUGAUGAACCUUCCCAAUCUGCCCGUGAUGUUACCAGUUUUCACAAUAAAAUCCUGUGUCCUGAGAAACCCUCCUCAGCCCUGAGCAAGAUGAAACAGUUGGUCACCCUACUACUUACUUUCAAGGAGAUAGAUGGUCGAUUCAAUUUUAUAAAUUCAAUAUUA